CCUACGGGAGGCAGCAGUGGGGAAUAUUGGACAAUGGGCGCAAGCCUGAUCCAGCCAUGCCGCGUGAGUGAUGAAGGCCUUCGGGUUGUAAAGCUCUUUCGRCCGGCAAGAUGAUGACGGGACCGGGAGAAGAAGCCCCGGCUAACUUCGUGCCAUCAGCCGCGGUAAU
rnacentral:rRNA from 1 species